rnacentral:rRNA from 1 species
AUUGAACGCUGGCGGUAGGCCUAACACAUGCAAGUCGAACGGCAGCACAGAGGAGCUUGCUCCUUGGGUGGCGAGUGGCGGACGGGUGAGGAAUACAUCGGAAUCUACUUUUUCGUGGGGGAUAACGUAGGGAAACUUACGCUAAUACCGCAUACGACCUACGGGUGAAAGCAGGGGACCUUCGGGCCUUGCGCGAUUGAAUGAGCCGAUGUCGGAUUAGCUAGUUGGCGGGGUAAAGGCCCACCAAGGCGACGAUCCGUAGCUGGUCUGAGAGGAUGAUCAGCCACACUGGAACUGAGACACGGUCCAGACUCCUACGGGAGGCAGCAGUGGGGAAUAUUGGACAAUGGGCGCAAGCCUGAUCCAGCCAUACCGCGUGGGUGAAGAAGGCCUUCGGGUUGUAAAGCCCUUUUGUUGGGAAAGAAAUCCAGCCGGCUAAUACCUGGUUGG